UCGUAUCUGUUAUUGAUAUGAAAUCCCUUCAAAUUAAAUGCAAUUAUUUGUCAGUAUUUCGCUCGACUGAGAGUUGGGUAUGUUACCUUGAAGACCUUGAACAUAAUGAAGACGCGAGGGUGAAAUUUUUCUUCUCCCAUUGGACUCUUCAUAGUUGUAUGUUGUUACUUGGAGUAAACAGCGAUUCCAUUGUGAUUGUUGCGGACAAUGUCAGAAGUGUCGCCUUCAGGAUUGAGGCUGCUGGCGAUGUCGACGUUACAAUCCUGGUGAACAAAUUAUCCUACUAAAGUUUGUGAAUUCGUUUUGCGAUCGAGCGGCCAGCCACGUUGAUAAUCCGCAAUGUAAGUGUUGUCGAUGCUGGGACGUAUACUUAAGGAGUUGAGCUAGAGUCAGCGAAAAGAACCCAAAGCUUAAUCGACCUGAUUGUUCUUGUGCCUGUCAAGUUUGUUAGUGCACCAAGUGACCAGACUAUCAAUGAAACAGACACAGUAACAUAUGUCUGUAAUGUUAGUGGUGUUCCAGCCCCUGUCAUCAAGUGGCAGAAGGAUGGAGGAACUGUUGGUACAGGAGACAUGCUUAGCUUUCCAUUUACAGGAAUCAAUCAGGAUACUACUGGUGCUCAGCUGAUAAUGGCUUGAGUGUCACUGUCAAUCCCAGUGCGUACCUUAAUGUGCAAUAUUGCUGUCCAAUAGGAUGCCAAGAUAUUUGACAUGGUCUUCGCACUGAAGCAUGACAAGCCAAAUGGGAUGAGUUUUACAUCCUGCCCAACCAACACUACUGUACUACGUGGUAGGAACAUGGUGUUAAGCUGCAAAUCAGAUGCCAACCCUGUGCCACAUGUGUAUCACUUUUAUUUUAAUGGUACCUUUAUUGGUAUGGACAACUUGAGUAAGUAUACUGUCAUAGUUCAAGCAGAUGGAGUGUACACUUGUGUACCUUUGAACGCAGUUGGUACUGGUGGCAAUACCACCAUUGCUGUCAUAGCAGUCGAUGCACCUUUAGUAGAUGUUUUCCCAGCCACAACCUAUGUCAAAGAAGGAAACAACAUCGCACUGUCAUGCAAUACAUCUGGAAAACCAGCAUCUGUUAUAGCAUGGACUAAAGCUGGCUUAUUACAAGUUCUUUCUCACACUUCUCUGUUGUCAGUUGUCAAUGUGACCAGACCUGGGAGAGCAGACAACAUGAUCCAUUAUCGAUGUACAGCCAGUAAUGGAGUGGAGACACCAUCCACAGCCACAGUCAACAUCACUGUCCAUUAUUUACCAAAGGCUGUAGCUCUGCUAACAACUCCAGUCAAUACUACGGUGCUAUGUGAUAGUGCAGUGAUGCUGAAGUGUGGUGUGGAUGCCAACCCUGAUGCUUAUAUUUAUAACUUCUACUUUAAUGGCAACUUUAUUGGUAACUGAGCAGCUUUGGUGUGUUUAGCAUCAGUGUGACGGAAGAUGGAGAGUACACGUGUGUUCCUGAAAACACAGUAGGCAAAGGAAGCAAGGCUAAUGUCAGCAUCACUGCCACAGGACACAAGAAAGUCAGGAAACAGAAUUAAUUGCAACAUCAAAGUGGCUCCAUCAGUGCAUGUAUCAGUCUUGGUAGUGGUUAUAGAUUUCAUUGAGCUCUAAUGUAUCUGGUAAACCUGAACCCAGCAUAUCAUGGACAAGAAUUGGUAGUUUGGAUGUUCUCUCUAUUUUACCAGAUGUCAUUAACUAUUAAGAAUGUGACCAGACCUGGGAGAGCAGACAACGUGAUCCAGUAUCGAUGUACAGUCAAUAAUGGAGUGGGAACACCAGCUACAUCUGCAGUUAAUGUCACUGUUCACUUUCCCCCUGGUAUUGACCAUGCCCCAUCAGCUUAUCAAGUUGUAGAAGGAAGUGGGGUGACCCUGUUCUGUAAUGCUACUGGAAAUCCAAAGCCUGGCAUAACUUGGACAAAAGAAGGAAACAAUAGUGCACUGUCCACAUCAGAGACUCUUACUCUGACAAAACUGAUUAAAGAAGAUGAUGGGUUUGUUUAAAAAUGUACUUCAGCAAAUUAUGUGGGAUUAGCUCAAGAUACUUCCCAAGUUACUGUCUUUUACCCACCACAGCCUUCCAUACAACUUUGCCCUAGUCCAGUAACUGAAGGAGACAAUGUAACGUUAUAUUGUAAUGGGACUGGCAAUCCAUC